rnacentral:misc_RNA from 1 species
UCCGAGUUGACCCCGGCAGUCUCCUGUGAGUCCCCGCCAUAACGCGCUGGCAACACAGAACGAGGGUUGCGCUCGUUGCGGGACUUAACCCAACAUCUCACGACACGAGCUGACGACAACCAUGCACCACCUGUCCACCAGCCCCGAAGGGAAACCCCAUCUCUGGGGUGGUCCGGUGGAUGUCAAGCCUUGGUAAGGUUCUUCGCGUUGCAUCGAAUUAAUCCGCAUGCUCCGCCGCUUGUGCGGGCCCCCGUCAAUUCCUUUGAGUUUUAAUCUUGCGACCGUACUCCCCAGGCGGGGCACUUAAUGCGUUAGCUUCGGCACGGAAGGAGUCGACACCUCCCACACCUAGUGCCCAUCGUUUACGGCGUGGACUAC